rnacentral:rRNA from 1 species
AAAAUUAGAGUGUUCAAAGCAGGCAGAUCCAAUUUUCUGCCACCGAAUACAUUAGCAUGGGAUAAUGGAAUAGGACCCUGUCCUCCUAUUUUCAGUUGGUUUUGGCAGCGCGAGGACUAGGGUAAUGAUUAAUAGGGAUAGUUGGGGGCAUUAAUAUUUAAUUGUCAGAGGUGAAAUUCUUGGAUUUAUGAAAGAUUAACUUCUGCGAAAGCAUCUGCCAAGGAUGUUUUCAUUAAUCAAGAACGAAAGUUAGGGGAUCGAAGACGAUCAGAUACCGUCGUAGUCUUAACCAUAAACGAUGCCGACCAGCGAUUAGGAGACGUUGAAUACAAAACACCACCAUCGGCGCGGUCGUCCUUGGCGUCGGUCCUUCACGGGGCCGGCGCGAGGGCGGCUAGCCCUGAU